rnacentral:rRNA from 1 species
UACGAAGGGGGCUAGCGUUGCUCGGAAUGACUGGGCGUAAAGGGCGCGUAGGCGGUUUAGACAGUCAGAUGUGAAAUUCCCGGGCUUAACCUGGGGGCUGCAUUUGAUACGUCUAGGCUUGAGUGAGGAAGAGGGUUGUGGAAUUCCCAGUGUAGAGGUGAAAUUCGUAGAUAUUCGGAAGAACACCAGUGGCGAAGGCGGCUCACUGGUCCGGUACUGACGCUGAGGUGCGAAAGCGUGGGGAGCAAACAGG